GGAUUGCUUUUGAUUGCUUCGAUUGCAGCAAUUUCAAGUUUGGGCUUGAAAUGAGGAGCAAAGGGAGAAGGUGAUGCUGAAGUCGAUGAGAGCUUAUUACUUCUCCGUUAGCCAGCUGAACAGAAAGGACUUUGCAAGUACCCAAGAGGGGAUGAUGGGAGAACAGAGAAAAGAAGAAGAAUAAAAAAAAAAAGAUAAAAGCUUUGGUUGUGAUAACCCAUCCCCUUGGCACAGCACUACUCCAAGACCAGACCUGGACCACUUGUCCAGAGGAACCUGGUGUCCAAGGAACAUUUCUG
rnacentral:lncRNA from 12 species